AUGUUCUCACUUCAGCAGCAUAUAUAAUAAAAUUGGAAUGUUACAGAGAUUAGCAGGAUCCUUUGUGCAAAAAUAAUAUGCAAAUUCAUGAAGAGCAAUUUUUUUCC
ensembl:snRNA U6 U6 spliceosomal RNA